rnacentral:rRNA from 1 species
GGAAUAUUGGACAAUGGGCGAAAGCCUGAUCCAGCAAUGCCGCGUGAGUGCUGAAGGCCUUAGGGUUGUAAAGCUCUUUUACCCGGGAUGAUAAUGACAGUACCGGGAGAAUAAGCUCCGGCUAACUCCGUGCCAGCAGCCGCGGUAAUACGGAGGGAGCUAGCGUUGUUCGGAAUUACUGGGCGUAAGGCGCACGUAGGCGGCUUUGUAAGUUAGAGGUGAAAGCCCGGAGCUCAACUCCGGAAUAGCCUUUAAGACUGCAUCGCUUGAAUCCGGGAGAGGUGAGUGGAAUUCCGAGUGUAGAGGUGAAAUUCGUAGAUAUUCGGAAGAACACCAGUGGCGAAGGCGGCUCACUGGACCGGUAUUGACACUGAGGCGCGAAAGCCAGGGGAGCAAA